rnacentral:rRNA from 1 species
GACGCAUCACUGGUGUUCGGGUUGUCAUGCCAAUGGCACUGCCCGGUAGCUAAAUGCGGAAGAGAUAAGUGCUGAAAGCAUCUAAGCACGAAACUUGCCCCGAGAUGAGUUCUCCCUGAGACUAUAAGUCUCCUGAAGGAACGUUGAAGACGACGACGUUGAUAGGCCGGGUGUGUAAGCGCAGCGAUGCGUUGAGCUAACCGGUACUAAUGAACCGUGAGGCUUAACCUUAC